UGGGAAGUGAAGACAUGUACCAAACAAGAAUGAAAAGCAGGUACAGAAUCCAGCCACCUGGGAGAGGUUUCAGAGCUCUGCCAUGCAGCUUCCUACAGAGUUCGGGCAUCACAUUCCAGCUAAUGAAUUCCUGCAACAUGGUCUGGCUGCAUUUGCCCUAAGCCACUUCUGGAUUAGGAAGGUACUGAGCCGUGAAGGACUCUCAGCCCCUUGGUCUAACAAGCAUCUACCAAGAAGGUAUGUUGUCCAUGCUGUCCCUGUCCACCUCUUCUUUCUCUCACCCCAAAACCCACAUAUGAUGUCUUUCCAUCAUCACUAGCAUUGUGUCUUGCCUGAAAGGCUCCCUGGAACACCUGCCUAUCCUGGCUUCUACAACCUACAGCACACCACAGCCAUUAGCAACUGAAAAAUUUCCAGGCACUUCAUUUAAUUUGUAUUUGAACUAAACCGUUUAUUUCUGUGAAAGAAUAUUCUUUCUAUCUAGAAAGACAGUGAGAUCUAAGCCUUACACUGGUUCUUUAUUUCCUGUUCAAUAUUAUCAUCAAGGGGGAAGACUGUGUAGGUCAGAAGAGGUGCCCAGUUUCACCCGUGUAACACCUUCACUGUCAGUGUAUUUGCACAGCUGUGACUUAGCAAAUGGGUCUAAUGCUGAAGAGAGAAGAGGAAAGAAGUGUUUUUCUUUGUGGUGCUGGCUGAGCAAACCUCACAGGCACUCUGCUAAUACAGUAAAAAAAAAAAAAAAAAAAAAAAAAAAAUCAUUCAAAGCUGUCUCUUGUCACACCAGUCAGUGAGUAUUAUUUUCUGAGAGCAGCCUUGUUGGGAAGGAAGAGGCUACUCUUACAGGGAUACCUUUUGAUCUACAAAUGCAAUUUAAGGUAGAGGUACAUAUUUUUAAGGAAGAACACAGGGACCAGUAGGAGAAGAAAGAAAAUACAGCAUGUACUAGAAUGAAACUAGCAAUGGCAAGAAAGACAGGACUAUGAUGAAAUACUUACUUUUACAGCAUGGAUACCCAGCUUCAGCAUGCCCUUUGUAUAGCCUUGAGGGCUGACCCAGACCCUACUGAAAUGAACAGCAGCCUUCCACACAGAGUAUUUCUAGUUAUUCCCUGACUUCACUGCAAAUACUAAUACAUUUCUUGCAAACGACACAGUAUUUGUACCUACUGAUAAUCAGCCACCAGCAUUACCCUGUCUGUGGGCGACUGACUGCUUUUCCAUUAUGUAUGUUAAACACAUAGACCUAACUAGGCUGCAAUGUGGCUGCUUUCACAUACUUGUUUGUCCUUGUGGCAGUGCUGUACAACUGACAUCAGAAAA
rnacentral:lncRNA from 1 species